GACCAAAGAGGGGGACCUUCGGGCCUCUUGCCAUCGGAUGUGCCCAGAUGGGAUUAGCUAGUAGGUGGGGUAACGGCUCACCUAGGCGACGAUCCCUAGCUGGUCUGAGAGGAUGACCAGCCACACUGGAACUGAGACACGGUCCAGACUCCUACGGGAGGCAGCAGUGGGGAAUAUUGCACAAUGGGCGCAAGCCUGAUGCAGCCAUGCCGCGUGUAUGAAGAAGGCCUUCGGGUUGUAAAGUACUUUCUGCGAGGAGGAAGGUGUUGUGGUUAAUAACCGCAGCAAUUGACGUUACUCGCAGAAGAAGCACCGGCUAACUCCGUGCCAGCAGCCGCGGUAAUACGGAGGGUGCAAGCGUUAAUCGGAAUUACUGGGCGUAAAGCGCACGCAGGCGGUCUGUCAAGUCGGAUGUGAAAUCCCCGGGCUCAACCUGGGAACUGCAUCCGAAACUGGCAGGCUAGAGUCUUGUAGAGGGGGGUAGAACUCCAGGUGUAGCGGUGAAAUGCGUA
rnacentral:rRNA from 1 species